rfam:Danio rerio chromosome 11, GRCz11 reference primary assembly.
GGAGGUAUAGCUCAGGGGUAGAGCAUUUGACUGUAAAUCAAGAGAUUCCUGGUCAAAUCAGGAUGCCCUCU